UGGGUUUGCCAGAACUCUUGAGUGUGGAUA
rnacentral:piRNA from 1 species